UUUUUUGGAGUAAUAACCAAAAAAAAAAAAAAAAAAAAAAAAAAAACUCAGCAUUUGAACAAUGGCACAUCUGAAGGGAUGCCUUCAGAAAAUGACAACUGUUGACAUACUGACCUGUCGGGGGUAGGAUCUUGCUGUGCAUUCUAGUACCGAGGCUAGCUUGCCAUUUAAGAUCCUGAUUCCCGUGUGUGUGUGUGUGUGUGUGUGUGUGUGUGUACAUGUGUACACCUUGCUAGCCUUUAAUGUUCUGUAUAGACCAGGCUGGCCUCUGUGUGUGUGUGUGUACACCUUGCUAGCCUUUAAUGUUCUAUAUAGACAAGGCUGGCCUGGAACUUGUGGAAAUUCUCCUGCCUUGGCCUCCUGUCCCUGACUAUUAAUAAAGUACUUGCAAUCUCUGUGUUUUGAGGGGCUGGUUAAUGUGGGUUUUUUUUUUUUUUUCCUUCCCUUUGGUGUCCCACAUCUAUUUCAUGCUCAUUCUGGGACUAAAUUUAAGUGAUGUGAAGUUGCAAUUCAGCAAGUUCUCACCUCCUGUCCCUCACCUUCUGCUUCCUUAAGUUGCCACUAAGCUUGCUUGGAUCCUAGAAUUAGUUCUCUGGCACCAUACUCUGGAUAUUUCUCUCUAAUUGCAGCCUUUCUUUGCAAACCCAAGUCCUGUUAGCUUUGUCUAUCGUUGGCCCUUCUGCUCACAGUCUUAGCUUCCACGAAGAACAGCCUACACCACUGGACCUCGAACCUACUUAUAAAAAUCUCCCAAGGAUCUGUGUUAAGAAACAGAUUCUCAACAAGUUUCAAGAUGGCCAGGGCUACAGGAAGAAAACUUUUCUCAAAACACAAAUC
rnacentral:lncRNA from 1 species